rnacentral:rRNA from 1 species
UACAGAGGUCCCAAGCGUUGUUCGGAUUCACUGGGCGUAAAGGGUGCGUAGGUGGCCAGGUAAGUUCGGUGUGAAAGCUCGGAGCUUAACUCCGAAAUGUCAUUGAAUACUAUCUGGCUGGAGGGUCGGAGGGGAGACUGGAAUUCUCGGUGUAGCAGUGAAAUGCGUAGAUAUCGAGAGGAACACCAGUGGCGAAGGCGAGUCUCUGGACGACUCCUGACACUGAGGCACGAAAGCCAGGGGAGCAAACAGG